GAUGAACGCUGACAGAAUGCUUAACACAUGCAAGUCGAUUCAAGUUACCUUCGGGUAACAAGGAUGGCGGACGGGUGAGUAACGCGUAAGGAACUUGCCUCUUGGUCUGGGACAACUGUUGGAAACGACAGCUAAUACCGGAUAUUAUGAGAUUCUCGCAUGGGAAACUUAUGAAAGCUAUAUGCGCCAAGAGAGAGCCUUGCGUAAGUUUCCCAUGCGAGAAUCU
rnacentral:rRNA from 1 species